rnacentral:rRNA from 1 species
GAUGAACGCUGGCGGCGUGCCUAAUGCAUGCAAGUCGAGCGAACAGACGAGGAGCUUGCUCCUCUGACGUUAGCGGCGGACGGGUGAGUAACACGUGGAUAACUACCCAUAAGGAUGGGGUAAACUUGGGGAAACCGAACCAAAACCCGGCAAAUUAAUUGAACGGAAUGGUUAAUUAUGGAAAGACGUUUUGCUUUUACUUUAUAGUUGGUCCGGCGCCGCAUUAGCUAGUUGGUAAGGUAACGGCUUACCAAGGCAACGAUGCGUAGCCGACCUGAGAGGGUGAUCGGCCACACUGGAACUGAGACACGGUCCAGACUCCUACGGGAGGCAGCAGUAGGGAAUCUUCCGCAAUGGGCGAAAGCCUGACGGAGCAACGCCGCGUGAGUGAUGAAGGUCUUCGGAUCGUAAAACUCUGUUAUUAGGGAAGAACAAAUGUGUAAGUAACUAUGCACGUCUUGACGGUACCUAAUCAGAAAGCCACGGCUAACUACGUG